rnacentral:rRNA from 1 species
AGGGUUUGAUCCUGGCUCAGAUUGAACGCUGGCGGCAGGCCUAACACAUGCAAGUCGAGCGGUAACAGGGAUAGCUUGCUAUCUGCUGACGAGCGGCGGACGGGUGCGUAACACGUAGGAAUCUACCCAGUAGCGGGGGAUAGCCCGGAGAAAUCCGGAUUAAUACCGCAUACGCCCUAAGGGGGAAAGCAGGGGAUCUUCGGACCUUGCACUACUGGAUGAGCCUGCGUCGGAUUAGCUAGUUGGUGGGGUAAAAGCCUACCAAGGCAACGAUCCGUAGCUGGUCUGAGAGGAUGAUCAGCCACACUGGGACUGAGACACGGCCCAGACUCCUACGGGAGGCAGCAGUGGGGAAUAUUGCACAAUGGGCGCAAGCCUGAUGCAGCCAUGCCGCGUGUGUGAAGAAGGCUCUAGGGUUGUAAAGCACUUUCAGCGAGGAGGAAAGGGGUUGAGCUAAUACCUCAGCUCUGUGACGUUACUCGCAGAAGAAGCACCGGCUAACUCCGUGCCAGCAGCCGCGGUAAUACGGAGGGUGCGAGCGUUAAUCGGGAUUACUGGGCGUAAAGCGUACGUAGGCGGCUACUUAAGUGGGAUGUGAAAGCCCUGGGCUCAACCUGGGAACUGCAUCCCAAACUGGGUAGCUAGAGUGCGAGAGAGGAGUGUGGAAUUUCCUGUGUAGCGGUGAAAUGCGUAGAUAUAGGAAGGAACACCAGUGGCGAAGGCGACACUCUGGCUUGACACUGACGCUGAGGUACGAAAGCGUGGGGAGCAAACAGGAUUA